UGCUGUAGGGGGCGGCAGUGAAGGAUGCGGUUACGGCUCUCCUGCAGAAGAAGACCACACGUUGCCUGGACAACGCUGUACAUCCAGCUUCAUCGUUUAGUUAGCUCUCAGUGAAGAUAAUUCUACAUAAAACGGGUUUAUUCCAGUUAUUCCUUUCAGUGUUUAUUGGAGACUGUGUCUCGCCGAGAUGCUGGGGAAUGGCGUGUUUAGCUAUAGCUAACCCGGAGGCUCACACAGGCAGCGGAUAGAGCGGGUAGUCCGCUCCGGGUAAUGAUAAUAAUAAUGUUAAAAAGAGUGAAAGCCUAAAUGCAAGGCAGUUCCAUUAUGGGCUCUCUCCCUCCCGCUCCCUGCCAUUGUCAUGAUCUCGGUUGGGCUCUACAUGUUAUUCCUGGCUGGUGUCUUAUGGUGUCAUCACUGUCUUAAGGCACAGUGCAAUUCCCAAUGUACAAACUGGUGCCCAAGUACCCAGUCUCCUUUCGAGUACUGUCACAUGUGCGCCCAGUCAUGUGACUGCCGCCCACCAACCCUGAACUCUUGUCUUGACUACUCCUGUCCUACUUCAAACUGUGUCAUGUGGGACUGUGCCUGCACCUGUCAGCCACCAGAGUGUGACUCCAUCAACUGCAUCUGCUUCGAGAUCAAGUUCAAGUAGAGAAGUGGAAGAGGAUGGGGUGGGUUACUGUGUUGUGUAAAUAUGUGGUAUUUACAUUUUCUGAAAACUGCUUUUGUGUUGCAUGUUUACAUCAGUAAUUGCUUUUUUUCCUCUAUUAUUGGAUUUACAUUUCUUUGUAUAUUGGUGUGACUAAUUCUUACAUAUAGGCCUUAUGUUAUCUUAAUGGGGUCUUUUGAAAGAAGAGUUUAUUUCUUACAUUUAACAUGAGCCUUAUUAACAGAGAUCAUCAUCGUGUUUCUGGGCUGAUCUGGGGCUGGAUUUCCCAAAAGCUUUUUAGUACGGUACUAAGAUGAUUCCUAUUAAGAUGAUCGAGUAAGCAUCCCACUGAACACUCUCUCUCCCAAUGCAAGGCGAAACUGUGCCUUGGGCCUUACAGAACAUAAAUACUUGGACAUCCAAAUCUGUAUCUAAAACAAAGUCGACUUCUUUGGCCUUUCUGUUGUUGUUUUUUUCUUAGGUUUAGAUGCUUUUUAGGGCACUUUAGUAAGAACUAAUGUACAUGUCCUGUCUACGCUUUUUAACGUAAAAAGGUGCUUGAAUGUGCAGUGCCAUUAAAAACUUCAUUUAUUUUCCUACACUGUUAAAAAAAAAAAACAUGAAAGGUUCUUUGAGUGAUACCGUUAAAGAAACACUUUUGUAAAAGUGAAUUAUGAAAAGUGUAAAAAACUUUUUAAUGGUUUAAAGAACCUCCACGUUUUUAAUCAUGUAUCCAUUUACUUUUACAAAUAGUUCUUUUAAGAAAUCAUACACAGUUCUUCUAUGGCAUUGCUUAAAGAACCCUUUGAAGCACUUUUAUGUCAAGGAAUCAGUCAUCUUUGUAAAAUAUUUAAAAAGAUUUACAUUAUCGAAAGGUUUUAGGAAGACGCUUCAAAUAGCUGUAAAAUGUUUAUAUUAAAAAAACUUUAGGUUUUAUGUAAUUAGAUCUCUUUAAGGAACCAAAUUUGGCUCUUCUAAGGUAUUGUGCAAGUCACCUUGUGCACUUUUUUUUUUUUUAAGAUUAAGUAGUUGUUAAAAGUGUGUACUGCAGUUACAAUCCAUGGCAUAUCAAGUAAGUACCAGUUUUGUAAUGUAACUUUAGUGUCAAAAAUGUUUUAUUUUUUUAUUUUUAUAUUUAUGGAGAUAUAGACCAUGUCAAAUUUUAAAAUAAACAUUUCAAUUAUU